AAACUUACCUGGCAGGAGAGAUACCUGAUCGCGAAGGUGGUUUCCCCAGGAUGAGGUUUAUCUAUUGCACUUUGGAUGUGCUGACCCCUGUGAUUUCCCCAAAUGUGGGAAACUCAACUGCAUAACUUGUGGUAGUGGGGGACUGUGUUAGCACUUUGCCCUG